rnacentral:rRNA from 1 species
AAGGGCGAUAAGUAAUGUGAAUUGCAGAAUUCAGUGAAUCAUCGAAUCUUUGAACGCAACUUGCGCUCUCUGGUAUUCCGGAGAGCAUGCCUGUUUGAGUGUCAUAGAAAUCUCCAACCAGUUAGGGUUUCUUAAUGGCUUGGAUUUGGGUGUUGCCAGUCUCUGGCUCGCCUUAAAGGAGUUAGCGAGUUUAACAAUGUCGUCUGGCGUAAUAAGUUUCGCUGGUAAGACUUGUGAAGUUUGCUUCUAAUCGUCUUCGGACAAUUACUUUGACUCUGGCCUCAAAUCAGGUAGGACUACCCGCUGAACUUAA